GAUGAACGCUAGCGGCAGGCCUAGCACAUGCAAGUCGAGGGGCAGAAGUUGCUUGCAACUUUGAGACCGGCGCACGGGUGCGUAACGCGUAUGCAAUCUGCCUUAUACUGAGGGAUAGCCCAGAGAAAUUUGGAUUAAUACCUCAUAGCAUUAUGAUGUGGCAUCACAUUAUAAUUAAAGUUCCAACGGUACAAGAUGAGCAUGCGUCCCAUUAGUUAGUUGGUAAGGUAACGGCUUACCAAGACGAUGAUGGGUAGGGGUCCUGAGAGGGAGAUCCCCCACACUGGUACUGAGGAACGGACCAGACUCCUACGGGAGGCAGCAGGGAGGAAUGUUGGUCAAUGGGCGGAAGCCUGAACCGGCCAUGCCGCGUGCAGGAUGACGCAUCUAUGGUGUGUAAACUGCUUUUGUACAGGAAGAAACACUCCCUCGGGAGGGAGCUUGACGGUACUGUAAGAAUAAGGAUCGGCUAACUCCGUGCCAGCAGCCGCCGUAA
rnacentral:rRNA from 1 species